ACGGAAGGCAGCAGUGAGGAAUAUUGGUCAAUGGAGGCAACUCUGAACCAGCCAUCUCGCGUGAAGGAAUACGGCCCUACGGGUCUUAAACUUCUUUUAUAGGGGGAUAAAGUGAGAUACGCGUAUCUUUUUGUAGGUACCCUAUGAAUAAGCAUCGGCUAACUCCGUGCCAGCAGCCGCGGUAAUACGGAGGAUGCGAGCGUUAUCCGGAUUUAUUGGGUUUAAAGGGUGCGCAGGCGGCACGUUAAGUCAGCGGUGAAAUGCAGGGGCUCAACCCCGGCACUGCCGUUGAAACUGGCGAGCUCGAGUACGGAUGAAGUCGGCGGAAUGUGAUGUGUAGCGGUGAAAUGCUUAGAUAUGUCACAGAACACCGAUUGCGAAGGCAGCUGACUAAUCCGCAACUGACGCUCAGGCACGAAAGCGUGGGGAUCGAACAGGAUUAGAUAC
rnacentral:rRNA from 1 species